ensembl:lincRNA Gm27216 predicted gene 27216
GAAUGUUUGCACGUCCCACCCGCGCUUUGCCCAGCUCCUCACUGUCCUUGGACUUCCCUGGAGAACGUAGAACUGAUGUGCACUGUUGGCUCCUGUUGUGCUGCACAGGCCUCCGGUAUUACAAACGGAACUCAAGGGUUAGUCUUUGUGACUCGUGAGGUGACUACACUAACACCUGGUGUUGAUAAGAUGGCAUGAAAACAGCCAGCUCUGGAAGUCGUGCGGAGUGAUGGCUCAGAAGUGAAUAGUGCUUGCUGCUCUUUCCAAGGACCCGAGAUGGGUUACCAGCACCCAUGUUCUCCAGAUCACAGUCUUCGCUAACUCCAGCUCCAGGGCUUCUAACCCCCUCUUCUGGCCUCCAUGGUACCUUUACUCAUGUGCCUGACAUCCUCCCACACAUACUUAAUGAAAAAUUAGAAUUAAAUCUUUAAUAA